CCUACGGGAGGCAGCAGUAGGGAAUCUUUCACACUGGGCGAAAGCCUGAUGGAGCAACGCCGCGUGCAGGAUGAAGGCCUUCGGGUUGUAAACUGCUUUUAUAAGCGAGAAAUAUGAUGGUAACUUAUGAAUAAGGAUCGGCUAACUACGUGCCAGCAGCCGCGGUCAUACGUAGGAUCCGAGCAUUAUCCGGAGUGACUGGGUGUAAAGAGUUGCGUAGGUGGCAUAAUAAGUAGCUAGUGAAAUCUGGUGGCUCAACCAUUCAGACUAUUAGCUAAACUGUUAAGCUCGAGACCGUUAGGGGUAACUGGAAUUUCUAGUGUAGGAGUGAAAUCCGUAGAUAUUAGAAGGAACACCAAUAGCGUAGGCAGGUUGCUGGGACGGUUCUGACACUAAGGCACGAAAGCGUAGGGAGCAAACGGGAUUAGAUACCCCAGUAGUC
rnacentral:rRNA from 1 species